AUUUUAUUAGUAUAAUAGUACAUUUAACUUCCAAUUAAAAAGUUUUUUAAAAAUAAAAUA
rnacentral:tRNA from 1 species